AUUUCUUGUGUGUGUUCCAAAUUAGAUUAAUUGCUACUCGAUUGUUUAGCAAUUUCAUCAUGGUCACGUUCUAUUUUAUGAAUAUCAUAUCGUUAUCUUAUAUCAUUCCUAUCACAUCUAUUAUACCUUUUCCGUUGCUAAACAUUUUAUUAAACUCUGAUGUUGAAAUGAAAAUGUUUUAAAAAUUGUCUUUUUGUGAACGGUC
rnacentral:lncRNA from 1 species